GCUCACAUGGCCCAGUGGUAAGGCGUUCGUCUCGUACUUAUUCAAGAACUUAACGAAAGAUCCCCGGAUCGAUCCCGGGUGUGAGCA
rnacentral:tRNA from 1 species